rnacentral:lncRNA from 1 species
UGUGCAUGUGAGGCAAGCACUGCACCAACUGAGCUAUAUCCCCAGCCCUGCAGCCAAAUCUUGAAAACUACAAAGUGAUUAAGUGGAAGGUGGUGAAAGGACAUUCCAGGCAAAUGGACCAGCAAAGACAGAGACAGAAAGAUCAUGCUGUGAUUUGGAGGUUGGUAGAGCUCAUUGCCUAAAGAUGGACCAGGUAGAGUGUAUUAGAUGGAGGCAAGACUGCACAGCAUACUGGGCUUGGUGGCCAACACGCCUGUAAUCCAAGCGACUUGAGAGACUGAGAAACGAGGGCCGCUAGUUUAAGGCCAGCCCUAGCAACUUAGUGAGGCUGUAAGCAGAAUGCACAGACUUGCAUUGUCAACUUAGUUUAUACUUGGACCUCUGAGAGUCUGUCUUGUUCAUUCAUCAUCCUCCAUGGCUCCCUUCUCUAUGAGAGUCUCUGCUUGAUUUCCAGUGACAAAGAACCUGUCCUUUGAAAGCCCUUUUUAAAUUUUUUAAGAUUUUGAGACAGGUUCUAAGUUGCUGACGCUGGCCUUGAAUUUACAAGCCUACUGUCUCAGCCUCCAUAGUCUCUAGUAUCUAGUUAGCUAUACCCUUUCUUCUCUCUCUCUCUCUCUCUCUCUCUCUCUCUCUUUGUGUGUGUAUGUGGUACUGGAGAUUGAGAUUGAAUCAGGUGCUCUACUACUGAGUCACAUCCCCACUCUUUUUCAUUGUUAUUUAUUGUGGUUUGGGGAAUCAAACCCAGAACUUCAUUCUUGAAAUUUUGAGAUGGGGUCCUAAGUAGCCCAGGCUGGCCUUGAACUUGUGAUCCUCCCACCUCAGCUUUCUGAAUUACAGGCCUGUUCCACUGUGCCUGGCAGCACAUACCCUUUUUGUUCCUUUUUUUUUUUUUUAAUAGUAGAUGGACACAACACCUUUAUUUUUAUGUGGUGCUAAGGAUUGAACCCAGUGCCUCCCACGUGCUAGGAAAGUGCUUUACCAACUGAGCUAUAACCCCAGCCCCACAUACCCUUUCUUGACUGGGGGACUCCCUAAGAUUUUCUUCUUUUUGAGGUCCUUUCUGAUUCCUGAUGCCUCCACAGGGGCAUGUCACCCUCCUCCAACAUUGGCCCACUUAUGCCUCUUACAUAUAUGUGGUAGAGACCAGGCCUGCCCAUCAGCCCUCCUUUCCAAGCCUGGCAGGACUCUGCUGCAGAAAGAAAUGGGCACAAAUAUUACAGCUGGAUGCAGGGAGCUAUAAUAUCAGCGCCCAGCAGACGAAGCACCUGACACCAGAACCAGGCAGUCAGUCUCCCAGAGCCUCAAAAUAGCAGUUCAAAAUAUCCACAGGUGAAGCUUUAUUUUGCUGAGUCUCUUUUCUCUCUUGGCUUCCUCUUGCAAGCCCUUGGCAGCUCCUCUGAGUCUCAUGUUGAUCACAACAUUCAAUCUGAUGCAAUGGAAUGUUCCUUCUUUGCAAAAGGAAGGUGUGGGGGAGGAAGAUGACCUAGUCAACUACUUCUUGGGUUACAAGGUUUCAGGUGUGGGGUGACCACAGCUGAGGAGGGGCCCUAGGAGCUCAAAAUGCAGCUGGGUGUUUCUUGGCCUAGGCACUGACUGUCACACACAUCAGUGGCUUCCCUGAUGACCACCAGCUGUUUACAACCACUUUUUUUUUUAAUAUUUAUUUUUUAGUUGUAGUUGGACACAAUACCUUUAUUUCACUUAUUUAUUUUUAUGUGGUGCUGAAGAUCGAACCCAGGGUCUCGAACGUGCGAGGUGAGUGCUCUACCGCUGAGCCACAACCCCAGCCCAACAACCAUUUUUUAUAUGGGAGCUGCCCAUGGCUAGUCCCUGCCCUGACCCCAGACCACAGUUGUCCUACUUGAGUUCAGGCAGGCCCAUGAGAACUUAGAAACAAACAGGGCUGACCUGCUCAGAUUCCAGGAAGUACAAGUUAGUAAACAAAUCCUUCUGGCUACCUUGCCUCUGGUCAGCCCGCCAGACUCUUAGGACUCUACCUAAACAACUGUGUCCUGCCCUCCUCUAACACCUUCACACUGGCAUCCAUGCUGACCCUCUCAGCUCCCCUGCAUGAUUACCCAGCAGGGGCUCACAUCCCUAUUUCACAAAUGAAGAAACUGAGGCCCAGAAAGGACCAGAAUGCAGGUCGCCAGUUCACUGUGACCCCAAGGCCCACAAAAUUUCAUUUCUAGUCACUUAUUCUUUUGUGGCACGUUCAUGUAUGGAUGGAUACUCCAGACCUGAAUGGCCAUAUAUUGCUUAAAAUUAACCGAGGAAGAAGGGAAGGACGAAGGGGAUCAUUCACUGAAUACAAGCCUCUGGAAUUUUGUUACCCAGAGCACAGGGAACAGACCCACCUGAGAGGUGAAAGUGCAUGCUUAAGCCUAGAAACAGAUGUCUCACCUUCUCGUCUUGCGCCUCUGGGUCCUGCUCUGUGCUCCACCCUGUCACUGCCCUAGCCAGACCGGGCUAUAUAUAUAUAUUUUUUCAAUCCUUACACAGGCUAAACAUGGGGACUGAGCUACAUCCCCAGUCUCCCAGACUUGGCAUUUAAUUCCAUGACCACCUCCAUACUGAUUCUGUGCUCCUAAUAGUCCCCUCACCUGGUGACCGAAUACCGGUGAACUGAGAACCAAGCCUUCAACACAUGAGCUUUUAGGGGCUAUUUCAGAUCCAAGCCAUAACAGAAUUGUUCAUUUUCAUCUUGGUUAUUGUCAUUAAUCUCUUACUCAUCCUAAUCUGUAAAUUUCACUUAAAAUUUUUUUUUUUUAGUUAUAGAUGGAUCUAAUACUUUUAUUUUAUUUUUUCAUGCAGAGCUAAGGAUUGAAUCCAGUACCUCACACAUGCUAGAUAAGUGCUCUACCACUGAGCUACAGCCCAGUCCUGUAUAUUAAAUUUUACCAGGGACUCAAGAGGCUGAGGCAGGGGGGUUGUGAGUUCAAAGCCAGCCUCAGUAACAGCAAGGCACUGAGCAACUCACUGAGACCCUGUCUUUAAAUAAAACGCAAAAUAGGCCUGGGAAUGUGGCUCAAUGGAGUGCCCCUGAGUUCAAUCCCCAGUACCAAAAAAAAAAAAAAAAAAAAAAAAUUGUGGAUGUAGCUCAGUGGGCAAAGCACGUCUGGGUUCAAUCCCCAGUACCUAAAUAAACAAAUAAAUAAACAUAAACUUUAUCAUAGGGUGUGGUAUUAUUUGCAGUUUCAGGUAUCCACUGGGGGUCUUGGAACACACUUAUCUGAAGAUAAGGGGGAACUAUUAUACCACAACUUCUUCAUCCAUUCAUCUCAGUGGAAUUUUGGUUGCUUGAGAAUAGCUAGGGAUAUAGCUCAGUUGGUAGAGUAUUUGCCUCAACUGCACAAGGCCCUGGAUUCAAUCCCCAGCCUAAAAAAAAAAAAAAAGAGAGAGAGAGAGAGAAAGAGAAAAUAGUGUUGUAGCCAAUGCAAACUCUUUAUAUGUUGAGCUGAGAUGGCAAAUUUACUGGGUUCUGGGGAACAGGCUCCCUUCAGGACACUUCAGAGCUUCAAUUCCGUCUUGGGUUGGGAUGUGAGAGGCAUUGGAAGUCAUGCUGCAGCCAAGAUGGGCACAGCUGGGUUCCCUGUGUCCUGGGCUGCAGCCCCUUCACAUGGCUCCUCGCACACUAUAGGCUGAGGGUGUCAGCAGAUCUGUUCCAGUUUAUAAAACUGUGAGACAUUGGGCUGGGGAUGUGGCUCAAGCGGUAGUGCACUCGCCUGGCAUGCGUGCGGCCCGGGUUCAAUCCUCAGCACCACAUACAAACAAAGAUGUUGUGUCCGCCAAAAACUAAAAAAAAAUAAAUAUUAAAAUUAUCUCUCUCUCUCUCUCUCUUUAAAAAAACAAAACAAAACAAAACUGUGAGACAUCAUUCACCUGCAUCAGCCCCCUGCCUGGGACACCAUGUAGCAAAAGACAUAAAACUUCCUACUAGGAUUGCCAGGUGAGAUGCAGGGUACAAUAUUCAGAUCAUACUGACAUUAAAGAACUAUUCAUUGUUUGUUUGAAAUUCUA